UAGGGAAUCUUCCACAAUGGACGCAAGUCUGAUGGAGCAACGCCGCGUGAGUGAAGAAGGCUUUCGGGUCGUAAAACUCUGUUAUUGAAGAAGAACGUGUGUGACAGUAACUGGUCAUGCAGUGACGGUAUUCAAUCAGAAAGUCACGGCUAACUACGUGCCAGCAGCCGCGGUAAUACGUAGGUGGCAAGCGUUGUCCGGAUUUAUUGGGCGUAAAGCGAGUGCAGGCGGUCUUUUAAGUCUGAUGUGAAAGCCUUCGGCUUAACCGAAGAAGGGCAUCGGAAACUGGGAGACUUGAGUGCAGAAGAGGAGAGUGGAACUCCAUGUGUAGCGGUGAAAUGCGUAGAUAUAUGGAAGAACACCAGUGGCGAAGGCGGCUCUCUGGUCUGUAACUGACGCUGAGGCUCGAAAGCGUGGGUAGCAAACAGGAUU
rnacentral:rRNA from 1 species